UCUACCAUGUAAUCCAACAAGGAUGAAGACGAGCUCUGUAUCAAUACCUCCCUCAAGACCAUCCAGAACACCCAGGUUCAAGCAAUUCAACCGGGUGCUCCACCUCCUGGAGAAAACGCAGCAGUUGUACCCAAUACCAUGAGUUUGCGCCCUGGAGUCCCUCAAUCAGGAACCACAAACUGCUGGUGACCACCCCCAAUCCACAGAUGCAACCCAUGCCGCCCACAGGAAAGCAGGGGGGACCGAUGUUCCCCUAGACCCACGGUGAGGCAGGAGGAGGAGAGAGCACCAAAGGUUACACUGCAGAAUGAGUUGCAGCUGUGAAAAGCAUCAAGCAAUGUAGGGAUUACUAUGAGAUCCUGGGGGUGAGCAGAGGGGCCUCAGAUGAGGACCUGAAGAAGGCCUACCGCAAACUGGCCCUCAUAGUCCACCCAGAAAAGAACUGCACCUGGUGCUACUGAAGCUUUCAAAACCAUUGGCACAGCAUAUGCAAUACUCAGCAACCCAGAGAAGAGGAAGCACGAAGACCAGUAUGACCAUUUCAGUGAUAACAGGAGCCAGGUAGCCCGGCCCAGCUAUGGGCAUGGGGACUUCCACCAUGGCUUUGAGGCUGACAUCUCCCCUGAAGACCUCUUCAACAUGUUCUUUGGUGGUGGCUUCCCUUCUAGUAAAGUCCACAUCUACAGCAACAGCCACAUGUGCUAUACAUACCAGUAAAGGCGGGACCGCAUGGAGAACCAGGGUGAUGAUGGGCGAGGGGUGUUUGUGCAGCUGAUGCCCAUCCUCAUCCUGAUCCUCGUGUCAGUUCUCAGCCAGUUCAUGGUCUCCAGUUCACCCUUCAGUCUGAGCCUAAGACCGUCUGUGAGCCACAUCACAGGUGAGUCACACCUGAGUGUCAUUUCCUAUGUGGCAGACAAUUUCUCCAAGGAGUACACAGGCUCCAGUCUCAAAGCAGUCAAACCAAAUGUGGAAGAUGAUUACAUCGCCAACCUCUGGAACAACUGCUGGAAGGAGAAGCAGCAGAACGAAGGCUUUCUGUACUGGGACCGCUACUUUGGCGACACAGUUAUGUACCACAAAGCACAGGAGAUGGGCACCCCCUGCUGCAGCCAACUGUCAGAGGUGCAGGCCUCCCUGCAUGGAUAAUCCAGGGCCAGCAACACCACUGAGGUCCAAACUAUGAAAUCCCUGGAGAAUUUUUGGUGACAUGCACUGAGCCAAGGUGAUGGACUGUAUAUUUAAGGAAAAACAUAC